AAUAGAUACCCCGGUAGUCCCAGCCGUAAACGAUGCUCGCUAGGUGUCAGGCAUGGCGCGACCGUGUUUGGUGCCGCAGGGAAGCCGUGAAGCGAGCCACCUGGGAAGUACGGCCGCAAGGCUGAAACUUAAAGGAAUUGGCGGGGGGAGCACAACAACGGGUGGAGCCUGCGGUUUAAUUGGACUCAACGCCGGACAACUCACCGGGGACGACAGCAAUAUGUAGGUCAGGCUGAAGACCUUACCUGAAUCGCUGAGAGGAGGUGCAUGGCCGUCGCCAGUUCGUACUGUGAAGCAUCCUGUUAAGUCAGGCAACGAGCGAGACCCGUGCCCACUGUUACCAGCAUAUCCUCCGGGAUGAUGGGUACUCUGUGGGGACCGCCGGUGUUAAAUCGGAGGAAGGUGCGGGCCACGGUAGGUCAGUAUGCCCCGAAUUUCCCGGGCGUACACGCGGGCUACAAUGAAUGGGACAAUGGGUCCCUCCCCGUGAAAGGGCUGGUAAUCUCACAAACCCAUCCUUAGUUCGGAUCGAGGGCUGUAACUCGCCCUCGU
rnacentral:rRNA from 1 species